AAUCAACGCUGGCGGCGUGCCUAACACAUGCAAGUCGAACGCGAAAGCCCCUUCGGGGGUAAGUAGAGUGGCGUCCGGGUGAGUAACACGUAGGUAAUCUACCUCUGGGUGGGGGAAUAACGUCUCGAAAGAGACGCUAAUACCGCAUAAUGCAGCGGCACCUAAUGGUGAAUAGUUGUUAAAGCGGGGGACCCUUCGGGGCCUCGUGCCUAGAGAGGAGCCUGCGGCAGAUUAGCUAGNGGUAGGGUAAUGGCCUACCAAGGCUUCGAUCUGUAGCUGGUCUGAGAGGACGGCCAGCCACACUGGCACUGACACACGGGCCAGACUCCUACGGGAGGCAGCAGUGGGGAAUUUUGGGCAAUGGGCGCAAGCCUGACCCAGCAACGCCGCGUGAGGGAGGAAAUCCUUCGGGGAUGU
rnacentral:rRNA from 1 species